UGGCUACGUACGGUGUGAAAUAAAUUCAACAUACACGCAUAAUGAAUGUAAAAAAAACAUGUUAAACACCAGUACAUGGUCACUGCUCCAUCGGCAAUUUAUUUUUAAAAACUCGAUUGUCCAGUGUUUAUUGUUUUCAUUAUGAAAUUGGCCUCUCGAGUCAAAGUUAACACAAUGGCGAAGUGUGUUUAACCGACCUCUAACCGCAGCACCAUAAAAUCGCGUUGGUAGAGAAGUUUCGUGCGGCAGUUCACACGGCAAUCAGCGGCCAAGAACCGCGCCACCGCGAUGGAGAGAUGACAGAGAUGGCAUGAUGGGCGAGUUUACAGCACGCUGAACCUUGGGUCGAGUUUUUUUUUAAUGCUGCUGUCAAUGGCCCAGUUGCAUGUGUGUAUGUGCGCGUGUAUGUUUAUGCCCUUUGAAUAGAUGUGUUAGCUUAUUGAGGGGUUCGUGGGGGAGAAGAGGGAAGAGUGCAAUUCCCCUCCAGGUCCUCUGCCGUUAUCUGUGGGCGACAUGUUUUUCAAACUCUGAACAAAGACCUCGGGACAGACCAUGGAAAGAGAAACCUCUCAAGAGUAGUGGCAGAGAGGAGUUCCACAUGUAAAUUUGUUGAGCGGUCUAUAAUUAUUGUGCCAUUGACAAAAGCUGCGACUUUCACGUCCCAGAUUUCCCUGGGCAGCAGCUAUUUAAAAAAAAAAGACGCCUUUGGGGAAACCAGCACAGGUGGCAACCCUCGGACCACAUGAUAAAAAGAAGGGCUCCAUCUUCCCGCACCUCCCAUUAGCACGGUUGGCUAUGUACGUUGCGAUAGAAGUUCUACAUACAUCUUGGCGGCUGUAGAGACUGGGCCUGCCUCGCUUCCCCGUGGUCUGGCCUAUAUUGGGCUAGAGAUGGCUGGUGCUAUUCACAAUGCACUGCUUCCCAGCCCAGUCCUUUCCCCACAACCCUUCCCAUUAUCAUUAAUUUGAAAGUUAUUGUCUCAUUAUCUUUGUUCCUACAUUUUCAGCCUCUCCUGGCCUCCCUCCUCCCACACCAUCGCCUUGACCACUACUGGGACCCAUAUUAAGAGGAAUAAUUCGUUAGAGGUUUUUUACUCCAUGCUGGACCAGCUCUACCAUGGUGAACACCCUCUCGACAAGUCCACCACCGAGACCCUGAUGGAGACCCAUGCAAAAUACUACGGCCUGCCCUACGUCUCCCCAACACGGCUUGGCAGCUGAGGUUUAGCCACCUGGUGGGCUACGGAGUCAAGUACUACUCCUACCUGCUGUCUCGCGCUGUGGCCAGCAUGCUGUGGCGGCAGUGCUUUAACCGAGAUCCCUUCGACUGAGCUGUUGGGGACCGAUAUCGCAACGAGAUGUUGGCGCAUGGAGGAGGGAAAGAGCCGAUACUGAUGGUAGAAGGGAUGCUUCAGAAGAGGCCGACUGUCGACGACUUUGUCGACGCUUUGGUCGGUGACCUGGACCACGACUUUGAGGCAUUUAUCAUGGACUCGGAAUAAAAUAUUGGGUUCCUCCUGCAUCAUUUCAUCGGUGUCUUUGUAGGACUUUAACAAAGUAAGGGACCCCUGGGAUUAUUUAUCUUUUGGUUAAUUGAAAACUUAGGGUUGGAUUUUUUUAAUGCUUUUUGGUUCUUUCGGUAAAGUCAUGUAGAAAGAAUAUAAAUUAAAUAAUAGAAUACGACUUUUCGAUAACAACACAAGCAGUCGUAAUCAGGUAGAAC